rnacentral:lncRNA from 1 species
CUGAUUUUGGUAGCAUCCUUUGGUCUCUUCUAGUCUGGGAGUCAGAGAAAGUUUGCAUCAAAAUGUCAUCAGGGAUUCAUUUCCAUCAUUUCAAGCAGGGUCAUCUUGGAACAGGACACAGGAUAGCCAAAAACAAUCCAUUGAUACACUUGGUGACAUUAAUUGAGAAAAAAACAAUAUGGUCUGGCCAUGGAGGCAUGGUAUCCGUAACAUCCCCCAAAGGAGCUAAAGAAGAAAUCCACAAUUUACCAUGAGCAUUUCUCGUCUGAAGAUUGCCAAGCGAUUCCUCCAGGACAUUCCUCAAGAUCAAUUUCUGUUCAUCCACCUUGUCCUGGGAGGGACAUCAAUGGGUUUCCAUGUCCUUUGGCUUCUGGUUGAGUUCACUCAGUGGAGAACCCUGGCAAGAGGCAGGAAAAGGGGAGGAAG